GGCUUGGGUCGUGGGCUUUUGAAAUCUUGCGUGAAAGUGUGUGUGCAGCCCGGACAGAUGCAUUUUGUCUCUAACCCUAAUUCUAAAGACGCAGAGCCAUGGAGUUCUGAUCCCCUUUUUGUUCUACGGCGCAGUGACGCCUGAGCUUCAUCUCGGCCUCUGAAACGGUCCCAUUUAUGUUUGUUUCGUGUUUAAAUGGACGUUGAUCGAGCGAUUCUCUCUCUCAAAACUCAGAGACGCAAGCUUGGCCAAUACCAACAGCAGGUUUUCGAUUCGAUCCAAUGUGAUGGCUAUCGAGGAAAUGUUCAAGCACAGGGUGACAAAUGUGGUUCUGAAUGGGGAUGGGUGAGCCGAUGUUGAACCUAAAGUCAGUACUACUUGAUGCUCAUCGUUGUUUGAAUAAGUUUUCAGGUUAUGUGGUCCAUCCAAACCGGGAGAAAAAUGUACCAAAUGCCAAGUCUUAUCCGCUGGAAGCAGUUGUGAAGGAUUGUCGUGGAGUAACAACCAGACGAAUCUCCUUCGAGUAUGCUCUUCUAGGUUUGAUACCUUAUAACCCGAUACAUGGCCGUGCCAACAUUAAGUGCUGCCCGAAGCUAGAAAAAAAAACAAUUUAAAAACUGUCAACGGUACAGAAAGCUAUUGUAGUUUAGUGUGCAAAAACAGAUAUUUCUUUAUAACAUUUUUUAGUAAUUAACUAUUUGUAUAUUAAGUUUGUUACAUAAAUACAUAUAAAUUAAAAUAAAGAAUAUUUUUUAUUAAA